UAGGGAAUCUUCGGCCAUGGACGAAAGUCUGACCGAGCAACGCCGCGUGAGUGAAGAAGGUUUUCGGAUCGUAAAACUCUGUUGUUAGAGAAGAACAAGGACGUUAGUAACUGAACGUCCCCUGACGGUAUCUAACCAGAAAGCCACGGCUAACUACGUGCCAGCAGCCGCGGUAAUACGUAGGUGGCAAGCGUUGUCCGGAUUUAUUGGGCGUAAAGCGAGCGCAGGCGGUUUCUUAAGUCUGAUGUGAAAGCCCCCGGCUCAACCGGGGAGGGUCAUUGGAAACUGGGAGACUUGAGUGCAGAAGAGGAGAGUGGAAUUCCAUGUGUAGCGGUGAAAUGCGUAGAUAUAUGGAGGAACACCAGUGGCGAAGGCGGCUCUCUGGUCUGUAACUGACGCUGAGGCUCGAAAGCGUGGGGAGCAAACAGG
rnacentral:rRNA from 1 species